CUACGGAGGGUGCGAGCGUUAAUCGGAAUUACUGGGCGUAAAGCGUACGUAGGCGGUUGGUUAAGUUAGAUGUGAAAGCCCCGGGCUUAACCUGGGAACUGCAUUUAAAACUGGCGAACUAGAGUUGAGUAGAGGGGAGUGGAAUUUCAGGUGUAGCAGUGAAAUGCGUAGAGAUCUGAAGGAACACCAGUGGCGAAGGCGGCUCCCUGGACUCGAACUGACGCUGAGGUACGAAAGCGUGGGUAGCAAACGGGAUUAGAAACCCCAGUAGUCC
rnacentral:rRNA from 1 species